rnacentral:rRNA from 1 species
UAGGGAAUAUUAGUAAUGGGCGAAAGCCUGAACUAGCAACGCCGCGUGUGCGAAGAAGGCCUUCGGGUUGUAAAGCACUUUUUGAGAGGAUGAGGAAGGACGGUACUCUCAGAAUAAGUCUCGGCUAACUACGUGCCAGCAGCCGCGGUAACACGUAGGAGGCGAACGUUAUCCGGAUUUACUGGGCGUAAAGCGCGUGUAGGUGGUUUGGUAAGUAGGGCGUGAAAGCUCCUGGCUCAACUGGGAGAGGCCGUUCUAAACUGCCGAACUAGAGGAUGGUAGAGGGAGGUGGAAUUCCGGGUGUAGCGGUGGAAUGCGCAGAUAUCCGGAGGAACACCAGUGGCGAAAGCGGCCUCCUGGACCAUUCCUGACACUCAGACGCGAAAGCUAGGGUAGC